rnacentral:tRNA from 5 species
GGUCGGGUAGCUCAGUCGGUAGAGCAGCGGAUUGAAAAUCCGCGUGUCGACGGUUCGAUUCCGCCCCCGACCACCA